GGGGACUUAGCUCAGUGGUAGAGCGCUUGCCUAGCAAGCGCAAGGCCAUGGGCUCAGUCCUCA
rnacentral:tRNA from 1 species